CUUGGUCAUUUAGAGGAAGUAAAAGUCGUAACAAGGUUUCCGUAGGUGAACCUGCGGAAGGAUCAUUACUGAUUUGCUUAAUUGCACCACAUGUGUUUUUCUUUGAAACAAACUUGCUUUGGCGGUGGGCCCAGCCUGCCGCCAGAGGUCUAAACUUACAACCAAUUUUUUAUCAACUUGUCACACCAGAUUAUUACUAAUAGUCAAAACUUUCAACAACGGAUCUCUUGGUUCUCGCAUCGAUGAAGAACGCAGCGAAAUGCGAUACGUAAUAUGAAUUGCAGAUAUUCGUGAAUCAUCGAAUCUUUGAACGCACAUUGCGCCCUCUGGUAUUCCGGAGGGCAUGCCUGUUUGAGCGUCGUUUCUCCCUCAAACCGCUGGGUUUGGUGUUGAGCAAUACGACUUGGGUUUGCUUGAAAGACGGUAGUGGUAAGGCGGGAUCGCUUUGACAAUGGCUUAGGUCUAACCAAAAACAUUGCUUGCGGCGGUAACGUCCACCACGUAUAUCUUCAAACUUUGACCUCAAAUCAGGUAGGACUACCCGCUGAACUUAAGCAUAUCAAUAAGCGGAGGAA
rnacentral:rRNA from 1 species